AACGCACAUUGCGCCCCCUGGUAUUCCGGGGGGCAUGCCUGUCCGAGCGUCAUUGCUGCCCAUCAAGCACGGCUUGUGUGUUGGGUCGUCGUCCCCUCUCCGGGGGGGACGGACCCCAAAGGCAGCGGCGGCACCGCGUCCGAUCCUCGAGCGUAUGGGGCUUUGUCACCCGCUCUGUAGGCCCGGCCGGCGCUUGCCGAACGCAAAACAAUCUUUCCAGGUUGACCUCGGAUCAGGUAGGGAUACCCGCUGAACUUAA
rnacentral:misc_RNA from 1 species